rnacentral:tRNA from 1 species
GGGGGUGUGGUCUAAUGGUUAUGACAGCGGACUGUCGCUCCGCAAACGGGGGUUCAAUUCCCCUCACUCCCGCCA